rnacentral:rRNA from 1 species
UUUAAAGGGCCGCGGUAAUUUGACCGUGCGAAGGUAGCAUAGUCAGUAGUCUUUUAAUUGGAGGCUUGAAUGAAUGGUUGGACGAGGGACGGACUGUCUUCUUUAUGUGAUUUGAAUUUAACUUUUGAGUGAAAAGGCUCAAAUUAAUUAAUGGGACGAUAAGACCCUAUAAAACUUAAUAUAAAUUUAGUUUAAUUUGUGACAUAAGUGAAAAGUGGUUAUACUUCAUUUAUAUUUCGUUGGGGAGAUGUAGAUAUAAAAGUAACUGUCUAUUAAAUUUAAUAGCCAUAGUUAGUAAUUGAUCCUUCUUUGGGGAUUAAAAGAGUAAGUUACUUUAGGGAUAACAGCGUGAUUUUCUUUGAGAGUUCUUAUCGACAAGGGUAGUUGCGACCUCGAUGUU